GGGUUGUGAGGUUAAGCGACUAAGCGUACACGGUGGAUGCCCUGGCAGUCAGAGGCGAUGAAGGACGUGCUAAUCUGCGAAAAGCGUCGGUAAGGUGAUAUGAACCGUUAUAACCGGCGAUGUCCGAAUGGGGAAACCCAGUGCAAUUCGUUGCACUAUCGUUAACUGAAUACAUAGGUUAACGAGGCGAACCGGGGGAACUGAAACAUCUAAGUACCCCGAGGAAAAGAAAUCAACCGAGAUUCCCCCAGUAGCGGCGAGCGAACGGGGAGCAGCCCAGAGUCUGAAUCAGCUUGUGUGUUAGUGGAACGGUCUGGAAAGUCCGACGGUACAGGGUGAUAGUCCCGUACACCAAAAUGCACAGGUUGUGAACUCGAAGAGUAGGGCGGGACACGUGGUAUCCUGUCUGAAUAUGGGGGGACCAUCCUCCAAGGCUAAAUACUCCUGACUGACCGAUAGUGAACCAGUACCGUGAGGGAAAGGCGAAAAGAACCCCGGCGAGGGGAGUGAAAAAGAACCUGAAACCGUGUACGUACAAGCAGUGGGAGCACCUUCGGGUGUGACUGCGUACCUUUUGUAUAAUGGGUCAGCGACUUAUAUUCUGUAGCAAGGUUAACCGUAUAGGGGAGCCGCAGGGAAACCGAGUCUUAACUGGGCGUUAAGUUGCAGGGUAUAGACCCGAAACCCGGUGAUCUAGCCAUGGGCAGGUUGAAGGUUGGGUAACACUAACUGGAGGACCGAACCGACUAAUGUUGAAAAAUUAGCGGAUGACUUGUGGCUGGGGGUGAAAGGCCAAUCAAACCGGGAGAUAGCUGGUUCUCCCCGAAAGCUAUUUAGGUAGCGCCUCGUGAACUCAUCUUCGGGGGUAGAGCACUGUUUCGGCUAGGGGGUCAUCCCGACUUACCAACCCGAUGCAAACUACGAAUACCGAAGAAUGUUAUCACGGGAGACACACGGCGGGUGCUAACGUCCGUCGUGAAGAGGGAAACAACCCAGACCGCCAGCUAAGGUCCCAAAGUCAUGGUUAAGUGGGAAACGAUGUGGGAAGGCACAGACAGCCAGGAUGUUGGCUUAGAAGCAGCCAUCAUUUAAAGAAAGCGUAAUAGCUCACUGGUCGAGUCGGCCUGCGCGGAAGAUGUAACGGGGCUAAACCAUGCACCGAAGCUGCGGCAGCGACACUAUGUGUUGUUGGGUAGGGGAGCGUUCUGUAAGCCUGCGAAGGUGUGCUGUGAGGCAUGCUGGAGGUAUCAGAAGUGCGAAUGCUGACAUAAGUAACGAUAAAGCGGGUGAAAAGCCCGCUCGCCGGAAGACCAAGGGUUCCUGUCCAACGUUAAUCGGGGCAGGGUGAGUCGACCCCUAAGGCGAGGCCGAAAGGCGUAGUCGAUGGGAAACAGGUUAAUAUUCCUGUACUUGGUGUUACUGCGAAGGGGGGACGGAGAAGGCUAUGUUAGCCGGGCGACGGUUGUCCCGGUUUAAGCAUGUAGGCUGGUUGUCCAGGCAAAUCCGGAUAAUCAAGGCUGAGGUGUGAUGACGAGGCACUACGGUGCUGAAGUAACAAAUGCCCUGCUUCCAGGAAAAGCCUCUAAGCAUCAGGUAACAUUAAAUCGUACCCCAAACCGACACAGGUGGUCAGGUAGAGAAUACCAAGGCGCUUGAGAGAACUCGGGUGAAGGAACUAGGCAAAAUGGUGCCGUAACUUCGGGAGAAGGCACGCUGGUGUGUAGGUGAAGUCCCUGCGGAUGGAGCUGAGACCAGUCGAAGAUACCAGCUGGCUGCAACUGUUUAUUAAAAACACAGCACUGUGCAAACACGAAAGUGGACGUAUACGGUGUGACGCCUGCCCGGUGCCGGAAGGUUAAUUGAUGGGGUUAUCCGUAAGGAGAAGCUCUUGAUCGAAGCCCCGGUAAACGGCGGCCGUAACUAUAACGGUCCUAAGGUAGCGAAAUUCCUUGUCGGGUAAGUUCCGACCUGCACGAAUGGCGUAAUGAUGGCCAGGCUGUCUCCACCCGAGACUCAGUGAAAUUGAACUCGCUGUGAAGAUGCAGUGUACCCGCGGCAAGACGGAAAGACCCCGUGAACCUUUACUAUAGCUUGACACUGAACAUUGAGCCUUGAUGUGUAGGAUAGGUGGGAGGCUUUGAAGCGUGGACGCCAGUCUGCGUGGAGCCAACCUUGAAAUACCACCCUUUAAUGUUUGAUGUUCUAACGUUGGCCCCUGACCGGGGUUGCGGACAGUGUCUGGUGGGUAGUUUGACUGGGGCGGUCUCCUCCCAAAGCGUAACGGAGGAGCACGAAGGUUAGCUAAUCCUGGUCGGACAUCAGGAGGUUAGUGCAAUGGCAUAAGCUAGCUUGACUGCGAGCGUGACGGCGCGAGCAGGUGCGAAAGCAGGUCAUAGUGAUCCGGUGGUUCUGAAUGGAAGGGCCAUCGCUCAACGGAUAAAAGGUACUCCGGGGAUAACAGGCUGAUACCGCCCAAGAGUUCAUAUCGACGGCGGUGUUUGGCACCUCGAUGUCGGCUCAUCACAUCCUGGGGCUGAAGUAGGUCCCAAGGGUAUGGCUGUUCGCCAUUUAAAGUGGUACGCGAGCUGGGUUUAGAACGUCGUGAGACAGUUCGGUCCCUAUCUGCCGUGGGCGCUGGAGAAUUGAGGGGGGCUGCUCCUAGUACGAGAGGACCGGAGUGGACGCAUCACUGGUGUUCGGGUUGUCAUGCCAAUGGCACUGCCCGGUAGCUAAAUGCGGAAGAGAUAAGUGCUGAAAGCAUCUAAGCACGAAACUUGCCCCGAGAUGAGUUCUCCCUGAGACUUUAAGUCUCCUGAAGGAACGUUAAAGACGAUGACGUUGAUAGGCCGGGUGUGUAAGCGCAGCGAUGCGUUGAGCUAACCGGUACUAAUGAACCGUGAGGCUUAACCUUACAACGCCGAAG
rnacentral:rRNA from 2 species